GCCCAAGCAGACGUCUGCUCCAUCCCCAGAUCCCCGCUCGCCCCUGCAACACACGGGCCGAUUCCGCACGCCGCUGGUUCUCCACCUCCCCUCCCUCUCCUCGCUACAGGACGCCGCUGGGCGAAGCUCGGCCCGCGUCGGCGGCGCCGGGGUCACUCUCCUGCCUCAAGCAGCGUCGGCGGCGCGGGACGCAGCGGGCUCGGCCUGUCACCGACGCGAGUGUCCCUCUCGAGCGGCGGCGGUGGCGGAUUCAGCGGACGCGGGCCAUGGCGGCGGCGGCGGCGGUGGACGCAGCGGGCUCGGCCUGCGUCGGCGGCGGCGGGUCCAUCUCCUUUCUCGAGUAGCAGCGGGCUCGCGCCACACGAUUUAUUCGACUCUGGUGAUUUGUCAACUUCUGCUUUAGCGGCGGCGCAACGGAGCACUCCGCCGGGCCCCUUGGCGGGAUCGGCGUCCGGAUCAUUUCCCGCCAUCGCAAGGGGGGUGGGACUGCUCGGGCUCAUCUGCAAGAGCCCCUCGCCGCCAUGCCGCCUGCUGCCGCUGACGCCGUCAACGGGAGCGGACGAGCAGGAGAGAUCCUGUCGAUCUGAUGGCGGAAGGGCGAGAUAACCGGCUCCUGUAUGUUCUGGAAGGUCUACCUCGAGAUAAAUUUGGACACCGGCAAGCUCCUCUCAGUAAAGCAUGUCGUGGGAUUUGGGGAUUUGCACGUUUUGGUUUUCUGGUUUGUACGUAUUGUCUAAAGACUUCGUUACAGGUUACACCAAGUCUCUCCUUUGUUUGAUUUUGGUUCCAGCUUUGAUCGGGAGCACUAACGCGAGCUGGGAGAAAGCCCAAGCGCAUAUAAGAGAACUCGAGGAAGAAGUGAAGCUCCUCAUUUUCUGUGAAGAAGUACCUUGAGACUGUCCAUGAGGAAGACACGCUGAAUAUCUUGCUUGAUUUUGUUCCCCACCCACUGCACGCCGCCGUCUAGAACACCUCUGCUACCUCCUCCCAAUCUCCGCCACAAGAUUCUCCUGUCCAGAUCCUGGGCAAGGAAUAAAAAAAUUUAGUUCUUGAAGCUUCUCCAUCAUGCCGGACGGACAACUGUAUCCAGCAUCGUCGCCAUCGCUUAUGGAGUUCCACACCAUUGCCCAGUUGUACGAGAGCAUGUUCAAUCUUCUCCAUUCAAGACUAUGCAAGUGGUGAACUCUGCCAAACAAGAAGAUAUGAGGAUAUGGCAUAUAUGCCCCAUAAGGUAGCUAUAUGGUAAUUCAUGUGUUGUAGUUUGGAUUACGGUCACACUUUGAAGGGUUAGUAUGAUGCUCAAUGACAUAACCUGCACUGAUCUUCACAGUCAUAUCAUCUGAUAGAAGUUUAUCGAAUUUCAAUUAAAUUUUGUUGUAUGUUAUCCAUGAUGUAAGUGGAGAUAGGAAGUUAAACAAAAUUAAAAAUUGCAGCACAAAGGGGAUGUCCACCAAUGAUUUGACAUGAUAAGAUGUUAGUGAAGUAUGGAAAACUAUGACAUUAGCAAAACUUCUAUUUACAUAUAUUCAUAUAUAUAAAUUUUGGAAAUGUGCAUUGCACGUA